UUCAUAGUGAUGCCAAAUUCUGUGUGCUUGCUGGAUCCACCAGACAUCAUGCUGAACCCUGUUGAAGGCCCAUAUACAGUUGAAGAGGAUGAGGAGACUGUGUCAGUAUGUUCAAGGAGGCCUGAGAACCCAGAGAACAUAAAGGGAGUCUACAAACGUUAUCUCCGGAAACAAAUGGAAGCCAUAGAUACUGACAUGCAAUAUAAAAAAGUCAAGAUAAGGAAGUUGGAGCUGGAAAUCCAACAGCUUGACCAAAAUGCAAGUAGAACUGCCAAAUUUAAAACAAUGGCACAUUUAAUUGUAUGUUUUCACCUUCAACAGGCAGCUUCAACCUGAGUAAAAAAAAUAAUAAUUAUGACUUGUGUGUCUAAAUUAAGGGAAAAGUUGAGGAGAAAGUGAAAACUUAACAUGGUUUGGACCGUAUUAACCAAAAUAAUUAUUGGCAUAACUGUCUCUUAUAACCCUGCCUGUUUCAUUGUCCUCAAAAAUGGUUUCAAUGUCCCAGUCUUCCUCUACAAUCCUUGGUUGCCUCUCUCUCCUCACACAGGCAAUGUUAUGUAGCACAACACAUGCAACUAC
ensembl:lncRNA